ACCCCAUUUUUCCUGCGGAAGCCUUGAUUUUCCUUGCCAAUUCCCCUUCGGAUCACGGUCGACUGCAACGGAAUCGCAUUUACGGCGUUCUUUCUCAGUGGGGCGUGGUUCCAAUUCCUCCCGUUAUCCAUGGAUUUCCCCAACGCAAGGGAUGACGAGAAUGAUUCAGUUACCGACGCCUAUCCGCAACCAACGAGUUGCAGGAGACUAGCAGGCGCUCGACAAUGUGUUGUGAAGUCCCAGACCUGUCCGCCUCCAAGGCUCCAACACGAACGCAGUGUGCAGAGCACCUCUGUCGAGAUUUCGGGAGCAGGACGUCUUCUUGCAAACUUCCAGGCACUGAGAUUGCAAUAUGCAUGCUGGUAACCUGCACGUGAGAUGGUUGAUUGGCUAGAUAGUUUCUGGUUUCCUUUUUGUUUAUUGUUCUGCCAAAUUGUAAAAACAGGGUCAAUGAAAUAGCAAAAUGCAUUGAGUUUUUAUCGUGUGCUCGGUUUAAAUAUGGUGAAUGGAAUUGCAAAAUGUACUCAGUUUUAGAUUGAAAUUGAGAUCAAUCAAUCACAAAAUCACUAUAUUCAA